CUGCUUCUAAACUGCGGGUGCAGAGUGACCUGCUGCCUUACCCCUGCCACGGGGCUUUUCUCACCACGAGGAAUUCUGUUUAAACUGCAAGCCCAAAUAAACCCUUUCAAAGCGUUUUUAUCGUUUAUUAUUACUGGGAGGAGGGUGCGUGACCUAUAGAGGUCAGAGGAGAACGUUUCGGAGUCAGUUCUCUUCUACCUUUCCGUGAGUUCUUGGCCUCCUACUCCGGUUGUCAGGCUUGGAGACAGGUGCUUUACCUACUGACCCAUCUGUGGGCCUUAAACCCUUUGAUCUUUGUCCCGUGUUUUGUCAGAGCACAAAGAAAAGUAACCGACACACAGAUGUACGGUGCCCUCUCUGUUUCCACAUCAACGAUGCGUUGCUCUCUCUGUGGAGGAGAAUGGCUGGUAACAGCCCCUGGCAUCUUGUGUUCCUGCUGACAAGAUGAAUUCUGUCUCCAAACGUGUACCGUGUACCGCUCCUUUAAAGCCCCACUUCCUGCUGAGCCAUUCGCUAUACAACCGUUUCCCGUGCCUGUGGGGGGUUCAUCAGUUUUAACCCCCUGAGAAAAGAGAUUGAUAUCUAGCCAUCCAGGACAGCCUCUCCUUGGAGUUCCAGUAAAUUCAUUUUUCUCUCACCUUGAAUCUCUGAGUGACAGGAAUUGGUACUCCAGGUGGAACCAGCCUUAACUCAGCUUGGGCACUGCCUACAGCGGUAGGUAUCUCACUGACUCCAAGCCUCUUGCUUCUUUUUCUCCCCACCUGAACACAUCCCCAUACUGACCCAGUGUUCUGAACUGGUCCAGGGCAGUGUCUCAUCUUACCCUUUCUAAAAGGACAGAGAUGCCAGAAGUGUCCUGGGGGUCUUUAGAGAAGAACGGGGACGGGGACAGCCCUAGAACUGAAGGCCAAUGUACAGGCUGGUUCCUGUGUAGUCAAGCUUGUGUUGCCCUGAUUUACUCCAGUCCUGGCUUGCUCAAAGCCCAUAAUCUCAGCCUGCUGCUCUACGCUCACAAUGUCUCUGUCUACAGCCUGUCCAUUCAGUCUCCCCACCACCCGGGCCCUCUGCUUUUUUCUCUGAUGCACGCACGCACGCACGCACAGCUUCUAAAUCAUCUCUUUGUUUCCAUCACAGGGGCACUCAGGACCUACUUGAAGAGCCAAUAUCUUUAAAUAAUUUCUAUUUUUUGAAUAGAAAAUGCACCAGAAAUUCAAGAUAGCCUUUCAGUGAGCUGUCUUGCUCUCACUCCUCCGCCCCGCUGUAUCCACCCACUGCCAACCACACCACUAGUUAUGCACUCUCCACCACUCCUCUGGUGAUAGGAACAUAGUUGUGUUUUUUCCUCAUGUACACAGGUGUCUAAUACUCUGCUUUUAUUACUUCCUAUCGUGACCUGGAGGUUUUUAAUUGACAAAAGAAUCCAUUUUUCUAAGAUUUUACUUAUUUAAUUAAUGUAUAGGAAUACACUGCAGCUGUCUUCAGACACACCAGAAGAGGGCAUCGGUUCCCAUUACAGAUGGUGAGCCACCACGUGGUUGCUGGGAAUUGAACUCAGGACCUCUGGAAGAGCAGUCAUUGCUCUUAACCACUGAGCCAUCUCUCCAGCCCAGAAUCCAUUUUUCUCUUUCACAAAAAAAGCAAGGAUAGCUCCAAUUCCUGCCUGCCGCAAUAAUUUAUGUCUUUGAGAGAAAGGGGUAUCAUUCUAUGACCUCUUCCUGAGAGGGAAGCUCCAGGGGGUGAAUUACCUCAGUGAAGGCAGAGUGUGCAUAAACCAGGUAGUGGGCUUGGGAGACAGAGGAACCGCACGGAGGUAGAGAAACUUUCUUACCAGUGGGCCUGAGAACUGGGAGACAGCCAGCUCCUUUGUGAGACGAGCUGUCAGAACUGAGUCCAACAGGCGGAUGUCCUCUAGUCCUGAGUGACUUUGGGGCUGUAAAUCUGUCUGAUGGACUGGCUUGAAACACCAGAAACUAACUGUACGAGAUAUACUCCAAGAGAUCUGCUGCAAGGAAUUGCUUUAUGCAGUUUCGGGGCUGACUAGGACAGUCAGUCGGAACUUUGAAACCCAUAGGAAAGAAGGCUGGGACUUGGGGAGGGGUCAGAGGCCACGCCCACAGGGAAGACCUCCUCCACAAGGAAAUCAGCUCCUGAAACCUUCCCUCCAGGAAACAGUCCAGGCCCACUCUGCUCAUCCGGGACACUCUCCCUUACCAGGGCCAUCAGGGCCAUCUGCAAAACACGUCACACUAGACCAGCAUGUGAGUGUCACUCUGGCUGUCCCAGGGAGUUGUGGUUGGAAAGAUGGGGUGACAGCACAGAUUCGGGGUUGGGUAUUGGAAGGGGCUAGAAAUGUGUUUUAUUUCUCCAGAUAACAACAACAUCUCUGGGUGAUCACUGAUUUAAUUGCUUAGUCCUUCUACCUAUGGAGUGAAGUGAUUGGGGCUGAGCUUAUCUUGGGCGAUAACCAACUUUGGAAAUAUAUGUCCGGAAGGUAGCACACCUCCAGGGUCCCUGCUGGUCACCCAAUAUCUCUCUCUCUCUCUCUCUCUCUCUCUCUCUCUCUCUCUCUCUCUCUCUCUCUCUCUCUCUCUCCCCAUCUCCUCUCUCUCUCCAUUCUGGUAACUGGAGGGUUAAAGCUAGGCAGCCUCUGCUGGCCUCAGGGGUUUCUCCAGUAUUCUGAGGCCAUUAAUCAUCCAGGCCCAGGGCUGCAGGAAGGACACUUACCAGCAAUUAACCUGCAGUACAGGCAGCCUUCACUCCCGCCCCUCAUCAGCACACCCAAUUACUGUAAAUUAACAUUUACCAAGCAGAGUGCCUGUUAAUUGGAAGGGCAGUGAAAAGAAAGGCCACACACCUACCCAGUCUAACUUAAUAACCUCAAAGGCAGCCAUUAAUUAAGGAGGAAAUGUUUCUGUUUAGCUCUUGUUUAGAAGACCGGCAGUUAACUUUGUCUGAGUUUUAGAGCUCAGCUCCACACCCCACCUUUCUUUCUGACCCCCAUGUUAACAGCUAGAAGAUAAAAAUCUACAACCACUCGUUAGUAAAUCUCCCUUUGAAGAAAAUCUCCCCAGGACAGUCUUACUGUCUAGGAGGGGGCUGAGGCCAAGGAAAAGGACAAGAAGGACCAGAGUCAAGGGUCGCAAACCUGUCCCUGCUUGACAGGCUGUGACCCUUCUGCUCUCUGCCAGUCCAGUCAGGUUUGCCAGCUUUGGGAACACUAGAAGUGAAGAACAGGAGAGACAGGAAGAAAUAGGGCGAAAGGGAUACCAUCCCUAAAGGAAACGUUCUAGGUCUGCCAUCAGGCUCCCGACUGCCCUCCUAAGGCGAAUACGUGGGUUCACUGGCUCCUUCAUCCCCGGUACAGAACCUGGGAGGUCCUGACAGACUGAUGGGACAGCUCUUCUCCUGUACACUAAUGUCAGCCCAACUCCUGCCCACUCCUUUCUUCUUGGCGUCCUUUGAGUCUGGCUUUAUUUUCUUUGCACACUCUUAGGCACAGCAAGGCCUUCCCUGGUCCAUUGCCGGUGCGUCACUGGUCGGCAGCCUGUGUGCGCCUGGUCUAUGGCCCACCCCAAAUUUGAAAUUUUAAAAAGACUGUUUCUCCGGGCUGCUUCUAGUCAAUUCUCUGGAACAUUCACAGCAGGUCAUACAGCUUCCGGACUCGAUUUUUCCACCUGCUUCAGACACCUGCCCUCCUCGGUGCCCUCACAUGGGGCUGCUCUCUGUGCUCCUCCUGUGAUGGGCUGGCACUGCAGUUAGUGAGAACAGGCAGAGUUCCCUACCUGGAAUAAGCUAGUGUGUAUGCACACGAGUGCCGUGCGUGCGUGAGUGUGCAUGUAGGUCUGUCUCCAACAACUCUGGUGUGUCUCAUCCGGGUCAGUCCAGGUAGCCAGGUGUGGUGGGGCACCUGUCCUAACGCUUACUUGGUAAGCUGAACUGGGAGGCCCUUUUGAGUUCAGGAGUUUGAGGCCAACCUGGGCAAUAUAAGAACUCAGCUCAACUAAGCCCCCUAAGACAACAUCCCAGCUUUCUCGACACCUCCCCUUGCCCUCUCUCCUCCCUGCUCCUCCCUGUGGCUGAGCUCCAAGCAGCUGUUGUGCUCAUCGUGCAUCCUCACCCCUCGCCCGUCCUCAGCUGUGGACCUAUUGCCUGAACCACCUCUCAGAUGCAGUUCUGCUCAUCCUUGUCGCAGAAUCCAAGGACGGUUAUUCCAGGGCUUUAGCUUGAGCCUUUAAAUAAUAGUGUCUGGUGGCAUUUCCUGAAGCUGGCCGUUCUCUCCCUUUCUCCUCCCUCCACCUCUCCCCUCAGCUUCUGGAACCAGAAGCACACUUCAUUUUUUUAUGCCUGCCCUAGCCUCUUCUCUGUUCUGAGUCUGCCCUCAUCACAAUCUUCAUAGGCGUCUCUUCUGCUCUUUGGAUUCCUUUACCAAUGGGAGGAGACUGACAAAAAUCACCAAGACGAUAAUCAAGAAUGAUCUGGUCUCUGCACUGAGUUCGGAUGUGAUCCCUGGCGGAAGAUGCAUGCCCAAUCACCUGGAGUCUUACAAGCAUCUCCCCCUGCUUUCAAAACAAGCACUUUACCGUCUCUCAGAACUCCUCUCCUCCGGGCUUAUCUCCGGUGUGAGGGAAGGAGAGAUUCAGCUGUGUCUCCAUCUUUCAUUUCUCAGUCCGAUCAACCAGGUAGCUUCAAGUUCUAUGUACAAACUGGAACCACCUGUGAGUAGCUCCAGGCUCACUUCCCUCCAGGCAGAGCCAUCUGAUACACCCACAUCUUAUGAGCACUCACUGUUGGUACAGCAUGUCCACAGGGACAAGGACAAGCCCCAUGGCUUCACACACCAACCCCCAUUUAGUCAGGUUCUUCAGGCUCCAAUAUCACCAGCAAGCAUGAUGCACUGGAGAAAUUACUGUAUGGUGCAAGGAUGCUAAUCUUCAUUUUGAUUUUCUCUUUAAAAAAAAAUCAAUGGAAUAGAAUUGAGGACCCAGAAAUGAACCCACACACUUAUGGUCACCUGAUCUUUACUAAAGGAGUUAAAAUCAUCUAGUAGAAAAAAGAGCAUUUUUUUUCAAUAUAUGUCUUUUAUUGUUCCCAUAGAGCCCAAAAUUGUACUUGUGGUCAGGAUCUUGUUUCUGAAGCUAGGAAACUGAGGUCUCAUUCGUCAGGCUGCUGCACCGUUCCCUUUUCAGAAACAUAGAUGCCAUCCAAAAACUUCCUGAUAUCCUUGUUUUUAACUGAAAAGACAGCAUUUUUAACAAAUGGUGCUGUUCAACAGGCAGUCAGCAUGUGGAAGAAUGUAAUUCCAUUCUUACCACCCUGUACAAAGCUAAAGUCCAAAGCUCAAAGACCUCCACAUAGAACCAGAUAUAAUGAAGCUAGAAAGUGGGGAAGAGCCUUGAACACAUGGGCACAGGGGAAAAUUUCCUGAACAGACCACCAAUGGCUUAUACCUUAAGAUCAAGAAUUGACAAAUGGGGGGCUGGGGAUUUAGCUCAGUGGUAGAGCGCUUACCUAGGAAGCGCAAGGCCCUGGGUUCGGUCCCCAGCUCCGAAAAAAAAAGAACCAAAAAAAAAAAAAAAAAAAAAAAGAAUUGACAAAUGGGACCUCAUAAAAUUGCAAAGCUUCUGUAAGGCAAAGGACACUGUCAUUAGGACAAAACGGCAACAAACAGAUUGGGAAAAGAUCUUUACCAAUCCUACAUCUGAUUGAGGACGAAUAUCCAAUAUAUACAAAGAACUCGAGAAGUUAAGACUCCAGAGAAUCAAAUAACCCUAUUGAAAAAUGGGCUACAGAGCUAAAGAAAGAAUUCUCAGCUGAAGAAUACUGACUGGCCACGAAGCACCUAAGAAAUGUUCAACAUUCUUAGUCAUCAGGGAAAUUCAAACCAAAAGAACUCUGAGAUUCCACCUCACACCAGUUAGAAUGGCUAAGAUCAAAAACUCAUGACAACAGAUGCUGGCAAGGAUGAGGAGGAAGAGGAACACUCCUCCAUUGUUGGUGGGAUUGCAGACUGGUACAACCAUUCUGGAAAUCAGUCUGGUGGUUCCUGAGAAAUUGGACAUUGAACUACCUGAGGAUCCAGCUAUACCUCUCCUGGGCAUAUACCCAAAAGAUGCCUCAACAUAUAACAAAGACACGUGCUCCACUAUGUUAAUAGCAGCAUUAUUUAUAAUAACCAGAAGCUGGAAAGAACCCAGAUGUCCUUCAACAGAGGAAUGGAUACAGAAUAUGUGGUACAUCUACCCAAUGGAAUAUUACUCAGCUACUAAAAACAAUGACUUUGUGAAAUUCUUAGGCAAAUGAAUGGAACUAGAAAAUAUCAUCCUGAGUGAAGUAACCCAAUCACAAAAUAACAUACAUGGCAUGCACUCACUGAUAAGUGGAUAUUAACCCAAAAGCUUGGAAUAUUCAAGAUACAAUGCACAAACCACAUGAAACUCAAGAAGGAGGAAGACCAAAGUGUGGAUGCUUCAGACGUUCAUAGAAGGGGGAACAAAAAUACAGGAAGAAAUUUGAAGACAAAGUGUGGAGCAGAGAUGAAGGAAAGGUCAUCCAGAGACUGCCCCACUUGGGGGAUCCAUCCCAUAUACAGUCACAAAACCCAGACAAUAGUGCUGAUGACAAGAAGUGCAUGCUGACAGGAGCCUGAUACAGCUGUCUCCUGAGAGGCUCUGCCAGAGCCUGACAGAUACAGAGGUGAAUGCUCACAGCCAACCACUGAACUGAGAACAGGGUCCCCAAUGGAGGAGCUAGAGAAAGGACUGAAGGAGCUGAAGGGGUUUCCAACCCCAUAAGAAGAACAACAAUAUCAACCAACCAGAAUUCCCAGAGUUUCCAGGGACUAAACCACCAUCCCAAGAGUACACAGGGAUGGACCUAUGGUUCCAGCAGCAUAUGUAGCAGAGGAUGGCCUUGUUGGGCAUCAAUGGGAGGAGAGACCCUUGGUCCUGGGAAGGCUUGAUGCCCCAAUGUAGGGGAAUGUCAGGGUGGGGAGCUGGGAGGGAGUGGGUGGGUGGGUGAGGGAGCACCCUCAUGAAGCAGGGGGAGAGGGGAUGGGAUAGAGGGUUUCUGGAGGGGGAACUGGGAAAGGGAUAACAUAUAAAAUGAAAAUUAAGAAUAUCCAAUAAAAGGAAAAAUGUAAAAAUAAAAAAGUAAAAUAAAAUGAAAACAAAAAGGUUCCUGGAAAGGUGGGUCAGAGAUGGUUAAGAGAGCACAUUGCUUUAGAGAACCCAAGUUCAGUUCCUAGCACCUACAUUGGGUGACUUGCAACCUUCUAUAAUUCCAGAUCCAGGGCCUCUGGCACCCUCUUCUGGACUCCGUGAGCUCCCUGCUCCCACAUAGACGAUAUAUAGAUAUAGGUAUAUACACAUAUAUAAUAUAUACAUAAUUUUAUAUAUAUAUAUUUAAUAUAUACAUAUAUAUGUAUAUGUAUGUGUAUGUAUAUGUAUACAUACACACACAAGUUUAGAAGUAAAAAGAAAUCAAAUAAAAUGAACUUACAGUCAAUGAUGUCAGUUCUCUGGACUUUGGUGUCUGGUUUCUUUUUCUUUUUAAGACAUGGUCUCUCUGUGUAGCCCUGGCUGUCCUGGAACUCACUUUCUCCCUUUGUAGACCAGGCUGACAGUGAACUCAGAGAUCCACCUGCCUCGACCUCUCUAGUGUUGGGAUUAAAGAUGUGCCACCACCGCCUGGCAGCGUUUGCUCUGUAUCACGUCUCAUAACACUGUAAGAUAAGUAUUACUGUGGGUGAGAAAAAGUUGAGCGUUACAGGAUCCAGCUCAUGAAUAGGGACCAAGGAAUGACAUUGCCUUAGAUGACAGAACGCACGUGUGAGUGUUCCCUUUAGGCUGUAGGGCACAGUGACAUUUGGUCAGCUUCCUUUGUGGAUGUGCACUCUCUAAUGGUUGUACAGUGAUGACCUCACCUAAUAAGGGUUUCUUAGAAUGAAUCCCAGUCCUUAAGUGAUAGAUGAAGUAAUUAAAGCAGGAUUUGAACUCAAAUCUCACAUUUCCUAUGUCCUUUCCAUCAGUCUACAAGGGAGCAAAGUGGAGAUGGUCUGAGCAGGUACAAGCUAGAGUCCCUCCACCUUUUGAAAGUCUGUGUACUGCCAUGUACCUGGAGCCUGAUCCCCUACCUGAGUUGGUGGGGUCUCAGGGUCAGAGCCAGCCCUCCCCUACACCUUACCUCAGAUGGGACAGGGAUGACAGCUAGGCAUAGGAUCAAUAGCCAUCUGUCUGGGCUCCCCUUGACAAGCUAAUCUUUACAGUAAACAUUUCAUUAUCUCCUGCUAGCUGCUGCACCUGCUGGUGUGAGAGUGAGUGGGGUGGGAGAGGGGUCCUCUGCUUUAAGGAAGAGCUCCCAUGUCAGCAGGGGUCUUGGGGCCCUCUGAAAACCAGCUAAGCUCAGCUAGAGCCCCUUUGCUGUGGAGGAGUCCGUGUCUCCUCUAGCUGUGUUCAGGAUGACACUCACACAUCCCAUCUUUCUGUGGUCAGUUCUCAUAGCUUUUGCUUUGUUCUCAUCCUGCCAUGAUACCUGGUGCCUCUCCUACUGAUUAUGCCUUCUGUGUGAAUAAUCACAAUAGCUACUGAGUGCCAACCCUACUGUCCUGUACUAAGGGCCCUGGGCUAAGCCUACUGUGUGCAGUCCUUGGCAAAUCCCCUUGCAGAUCUACAGGUAGGUGACCUCAGACCUUCCCAUUUCUCAGAUGAGCAGAAUGGAGGAGCAGAGGCUGAGUUGUCUUGCCCCAAAGCCCAACUUCUUAGCUAGUUUGUUAACUGACUUCCCAACACUGUGUCAAACUAUCUGAGCUAACUGGGUGCUUGAGUACUGCUUGGCCAUGUAUAAGGGAUGGCAUAACAUGGUUCCUGCCACUGGAACAGAGCCAGCAGGGCAUGGGCCUCCACAGUGUUGAUGGUUGCUGUGGGUAUAAGGCCUGUUUGUAUAAUAGUGUACAUAUUUUCGUGUUCCUCCUUUGAAGAAUGAUUAAUCUCUCCAUGAUAAUCAGAGAUAGCAUGAGUCCAGAAGGGAGGGCAUGUCUGUGUCUCAGCAAAAUGGUAGAAUGCUGUGACCUUCAGGGCAACCCUUAAGGCUGUGGGAAAGAAUGCUGAAAACAUGAGUAUGAAAAGAUAUAAUUUUCCAGCAAUGCAAAAUAUAAGGAUGCAAUAUGAUUCAUAUAAGGAACUUCAUAGAUCUACAAAAACAGAGGCAGCUGCACUAUAAGACAGCUUAUCAGGAAAUAUAAGGAGGAAGAUACAAAUGCAGGCAGACUCCUGAGUUCAAGGUCAGCUUGGAACAGAGCUAAUUUAGGUCCAGGUAUGGUCAGAAUGAUAAUUCCAGGGCAGGAUCCCACCCAGCUACUUCAUUGUCUGUGCUUGUGCUGCUGUCUCUUCCUAAGAAUCAAGGGGCUGGGGUCAUGGGAUGCUGAUUCAUGGGAUAAUCAAAAGGGAACUUUUGGUUUGAUGUAUAAAAUAAAAAACUGAGUUUUUUGAUCUGCAGGAGAUGAGAUGUUAGAAUAGCAAGAGAAAAUUAUCUCUUGAACUGUCUGGAGAUCUCCAGAGAGCAGAACAGAGAAAGCAGUCUCAAGCAGAACAUAGGCCACCGGCCUGUAACCCAUGAUUUGACUUCCAGUCCUUUGUUUUACUGCUCUCAAACACCCCUUCUCUCAGAACCUCUCACCAAGCCCAACCUGGUCCUUGCAACUGGGGACUGAACUGGGAAGGAGUUGUUCCUGCUCACAGUUUCAGAUAUGUCUGUCCACACUUACUUGGCCUGUUGCAAGUCAGAACAUCAUGGUGUGUGGUGGAGCACAGCUCCUCACCUCCAAGUGACUUGAAACAGACAGAGAAGGAGGUUAAUAGCCCUCUUUUGAGCCCAGUUAUCUAACUUCCUCACUUGGCUCCACCUCUCCAGAAGGUUGUACCACUUUACAGAAGUGUCAAGCUUGGACCCAAGUCCUUUUUUAAAUGUUUAUAUGUUUGUUUGAGUGUUUACUUAAAUUGUGUGUGUGUGUGUGUGUGUGUGUGUGUGUGUGUGUGUGUGUGUGUACAUGUGCCUCUUAGAGAACAACUAGCAGGAGUUCCUUCUGCCAUAUGCGUUCCUGGGCGCAACCUUAGGUUGUCAAGCAUGACAUUAAGAACCUUUACCUGCUGAGCCAUCUAGAUUCCCUCUCUUCCUCUUCCUACUCCUCUCUCCCGGUUUUGUUUCUUGAAACAGGAUCUCACUAUGUCGCCCAGAGGGCUUUAGAUUCAUGACAACCGUGGUUUGGCCCCACAAUGCUAAGACUGCCUGUGCCACCAUAGCUGGCAUCUGGGACCUCUACUAGAUGGCAGUAACAUACCUCCCUUUAACAUGGUGACCGCCGAUGUCUCCGACUUUCUCUAGGUAACAAAAUCACCCUGCGCUUGCCUAGGAAGCGCAAGGCCCUGGGUUCGGUCCCCAGCUCCGAAAAAAAGAACCAAAAAAAAAAAAAAAAAAAAUCACCCCUGAGCCCAGAACCUCUGUCUUAAGGGUAAGGAGCUCAAGGCACAGGACUAAUAAAUAAGGGAAUUUUAAGUUUUAGUAUUUAUUUGACAAAUUACUUGUAAGUAGAGACAAAGAGACCACAGUUAAAAGCAUGCUUAACUAAAAACGACAACAGAAAAGACAUUCUGAUAAUCUAUUGGACAAUAAGUUUAUCUCACUGUUGGAUUUUUUUAAACUACUAGAGUGAUGUAGGGGUGGGUCUGAUGCUAAAGUCCUGUUCCCCAAUUGGCUCUUGGUCGAUCAAUAAAGAUGCCAGGAGCCAAUUGCUGAGAUGGAGGAAAGAGGCGAAACUUCUGGGUCUCCACAGGCCGGGAGAGAAAAGGGCAGGGAGAGACUGAGGCAGAGAGAAAAGUAGAUUUUAGCCAUGCUUUGGGGAGGUGGAGUUGGUGGGGGGAGCAGAAAGGUAACCAGCCAUAUGAGAUGUCCGGUGGAGCCGCCACAGGCUGCUUGCUUUCCCAGGCGGGAGAUUCGAAAUGCAGCUAAGCCGAGGGCUUUGGGGUUGCUGAACAAGGAGAGGGUAACUGAGCAACUAAAGCUGAGGACAGAUUUAGGGUGCGAGCUGGGAGUGAAAAGAAGGGCACGAGACAGGCGAAGACAGCUCAGAAGAGCCCAGCAAUCGAGCCAAUACGGCAGGUUGAAAAAUAAACUAAUGUGUGUGUAUCGUUCAUCCACGGAUCCGAGGGAACCUGGGCGGGGCUGGUAGCGCAGGUCGCCCAGAGCUUAAAGUGGGGUAGUGAAGCUGGUGUGUGUGUGUGUGUGUGUGUGUGUGUGUGUGUGUGUGUGUGUGUGUCUUGAAUCUGGAAUUCACUCUAUAGAUCAGGCUAGCCUCAGACUCAUACAGAUCCACCUGCUUCUGCAGUCUGAGUACUGGGAUUGAAAGUGUGCACUACCGUGUCUGGGGGGCUGAUACCAGAGCAAAAAGCAUUGGUUGUUUUUAUUGGUUGUUGCCUAUUUAAUGACUUGUUUUUCUUUGUCGGGACAGGUUGUGCCGUGCUCUAGGUUCCUACAUGUUGCGUACAGCACUGGUUUUCCAGACCGAGCCUUGCCCUGAAAGACAUGCAGCUUUAGCCGGUUUUGAGUGUGAAGGCUAAUUCUGAACCUGAACAGAAGACAGGCACCGCCUCUGUGUGACCAGCCACACGGCAUAGACUAAUGAGUGACCUAUUCCUGGGAGUAGGAAGGGUGCCGCCACGUGAGUUCAUUGGUAUGAGCUGGAGCAUGGCUAUUAAAAUUCUAGCAGUUAAACCAGGCCUAGGAACUUGCGAGACACACGAGAUCAAGGAAAGGGUGCAGCUCCCUCACCUGGACCCAUAAUGAGGUGGACACCUAGCACUGGGAUAGCAGCAGCCACCACAGGGCCGUCAUCUGGCCAUCCAGGAUGUGUGUGUGUGUGUGUGUGUGUGUGUGUGUUACUCGAGUGUGUGGAAGGCCAGCAGGUACACAACACUGACCAUCCCAGGGGCUUCAGCUCGGCUGCCUCUGCUGUUGACACUGCCCAGUCAUUGCCAUCUGCCUACCUGCCCACUCAUCCGGACCUGGGUCCAUUCAUCUGCCUAUUCCUUCACCCCACCCUCCACUUCUCCACUGUAGCUCCCCUCUAAGGCUGCAGCCAGACUCUACAACCAGCAAGAGCUUCUCCUAUAACCAUUUGGUCGUCUUCACUGGAGACUGUGCUGUGUGUCUCUCAGCAACUCAGGCUCAGGCCUUUUGAAGCAUUUUUUAAUUCUGCUGUGGCCUCUUAAGCCUUUUCAGUCAUGCUACAACUUACACACACACACACGACAGACACGUAUACCCCAACACACACACAUUUACAUGCUGUGAAGUGUGACACGUGAUCUAAGAGAUAAGAUUAGUAAUUAAGACCGGGAGAAAGAAAUCUGUGCUCAGCCUUUGGCUCUCAAGGAAAGUGGAAAUACCUGAGAAAUUGCAGCCAUCGAAACAGCUGUACCCUGUAAAUCAAUCUAUUGCUAUUCAAUCCAUUCUGAUACUAUGGAAAGACUCAAACGUGCUCGCCUAUGUUCCUGACACGGUGCGCUCACAGCACUUUUUAGUUGAUAUUUGUCUUUUGGACGGUUAUUGUUCUCAGUCUCUCAUGUCUGUUUUCAUUUGUUUGUUUCUGAGACAGGGUCUCACUGUGUAGCCCUGGCUGGCCUGGAGUCACGGCACCUUUAAUGGUGUAUAUCAUGCAUCCACCGUUCUUCUUUCCCCUUCAUACCGGUGGCCUCAUUAGCUUUAAAACCCUGACAGUGUUCCAAGCUGGGAGAGAACUUGUAGGCGCAGCUGCCUUCUCCCAGGAAGCCCUCGCUGACUCAUCUGGCUUCCUCCAGGCCCCUGUCUCCUUGAGCUCUCUUACAUGAGGACAUAAGGAUGCUGCUAGUGCUUUGUGUUGCUCUGAGGCAAACAUUCGAGCCCCAAGAACAGUUGUGGGAGGGAGUCCUGACCUGGGCUCUGCCAAGAAUUAGUUCAGGUUAAUUAUUACCAAUCGCUAGAUGUGUAGCACAGGAGCCACAUCCCCCAAGCUGGGGCCUCUGGAGGUUUCCUUUAUGAGCCUAGCCCCUACCCCCAGGGAGGUCUUAGUGUAAUGAAUUUUGCUAUAAUCACAUUUAGGGAUCUGAUCCCUGAGUCAUGCAGUCAAUGGCAGCAUCGAGCACCAUCUGGUUAGUUUGGCCACAGGAUGGGAAGGCCUCAGGUAAGUGUAUGGAAAGUAGCCUCCUCUGCUUUUAGGAGCGUGGUUCUAUGACCAAGGGGAGAGGCCAUCUGGGAGCUGUUUUGCAAAGGAUAGGCCGACUAUCAGAGAGCGGGAGUCCUCUCAACCUUGAUGGGAACCUCAGCUUCGCUUCCUGCUCCAACCUCCUAAAGAAGCAGCACAAUUUGUACUGUUCAUAUUUAAUUUGUUCAUAGUAUAUAUUCAUCUGUUUAUUUAUUUAUUCAUUCAUUCAUUCAUUCAUCAAUCAUUCAUUCAUUCAAUCAGCAGGAGGCAAAUCCCCACUCCAGCAAGGCAAAGGCUGGGGCUCCAAUAUGCCCCAUGACUGAGUGGGAACCCUGCUUUAUCCGGCUAGGCAUUAUGCAAAUCAGGGGCUCCUGGGUAUAAAAGAAGCUGAUUUAGUGAGGGUGUGGGUGGGCAGGGAAGGGAACACCAGGGAGCAGAGCGCUGAGACCUGCAGAAGCGAAGAGCCGGUUCAUCUCUGAGAGACAGCCCUAGUCCAGCUUUCUCAACAUGGUGGCCCACAGCUUUCAGAUUUUCAAGAAAUGUCAGAAAUCCAGAUGUGGUGGGGGACUGAGCGGAGAUACAUCUCUGUCUUAAAAUCGUGGUUCAUAUUUUUAUUGAGCAUCUCUUGGCAAAACAUUGCGGUCGGUGCACCGGGUUGGUGGCGCAGACGGCUAGAUGUGCCAGAUAUGCCCUUGCUGAGCACUGGGACAGUCUACUUAAUAGGCCCACCUAUAAAGAAGACUGAAUGAACUCUACCUACAUCAGAAACCAAAUAAAGGGAAGGAUAUUUGGAGCUGAGGGGAGAGUGAUCCACACUAAAAGUGGCUCACCUGCUUAAGUGUAAGUGCUCUAAAGCCUCCUGGAUGCUAAGGUUAAAAAGAAGGAUGUUCUGUUCCCCUGUGAGGGUUUGGAUGAGUAAAAUAAAAGCCCUCUUCCCUCUGGGCCAGGGUCAUAGGCUUGAUACUUGAAGCUAAGAUCGAGCGCUAGGUUUAACAUGCUUUCCUCAGCCCAACAAUUUCUUCGCGGGGGAUUGUGGGAAACAAGAGUGGGAACCUUAAGUGAUCCUGUGCGAAUAAAUGAAAGAGCCCAGGGCCAAGGGCGCUGAAAGGAGUUCAGCAGCCUUUGAGGUCGGACAGACACGCAGAACACAGCAGGAAAGGGUGGGAGUGGGGCGUGGGAGGAGGCUUCCAGCUCAAAAUAGUUGGGGAACUCUGGAUGGAUGAAGCUCACGAAGUUGAUUCAAUCUCAGCAAAGUUUGGGCUCAGUACUAUGCUCUCUUGCCUUGUGAAUUCAUUUUCCUCUAAAGAGAUAUCUCCGAGCUUAUGCAAUGCUGUAACUCGGAGAAUCCCUGAGGGUAGGCAUCGCAGGGAGGAAACCAUGCGAGACCGUGAUGGAGUCAAAUGCUUUCCGCCAUCUUGCUUUCCCAAAAGCAUCCUGCAUGGUCCACCUACGCCAGAAUCUUCUCCUCCUGGAUCCAGAAUCGCUGAGUCACCGUCUCAGGCCAAGCUCUGACGUUCGCAUGUUGCGAAGCUCUCUGAGUCACUUUUUAUCUCCCUAAAGUUUGGGGUCCAGUGGGUGGCAGAGCCCAGCCUCUACCUUACCAAUACCACGAUGACUCAAUCAAUUUCUACCCAGGCUCUUCCUCCUGGCCCCCCUCAAAACUCAUCUCUCUCCUCACCACUCGCUGAGCAUUUCCCUAGCCCCGCUCACACAGCUGGUAUUUAUCUUUAUUGCCGCUCAGUUUAUUGAUUUAGGGCCAUCUCUGCAAUUCGUCAAGUUGGGUUCCCAUUUUAAUCUGGGCCUCCGAAGUGGCAAAGAUCCCUUCCAGCCUCAGCGCUUGCAGAAAUGUGAUUAGCUGGGUCUCCCUUCCAUCCUUCAAGCCAUUAAUGGAAAUAUUAAAUGGCCUUGGUUUGGCAGGAAGGUCUUCUGGGUCUCGGGGGAUGAAUGACUCCCUCGCUCAUCACCAGCUCUGCCUGGACGGUGGAGAGAUCAUGCACGUUUCAAUGGUGGACUGUUGCUUCAGUAACAGGAAUCUAUGCAGAAUUCCAAUUUAUUAAUUAGUUCACUCAUUCAAUAUAAACACUCAAGGAAAAAAAUUAGUCUGAAGACAUGUUUUUCCUUUCCUAAAUGGUUUGAUGACCUCGGGGAGAGGAAAUUUAUGGGAAGAAUGUGAGCAAAGAAGCAGCUUUGGCCAGGUGUGGUGACUCGAAUCUGAAAUUCUAGCACUAGGGAAACUGAGGCAGGAGGACCGCUGAGAGUUCCAGUUGGUCUAAGUCACAGAGUGAGACUGUCUCAAAUAUCUCCCACCUCCUAAAUGGUUUACAGAGACUGGAGCAUACUUCCCAGGUUUUCCUCCGUGAAGGCCAGAAUCUAAUUAUGCCGGGCACUCCAUUCUACCAGGUGGGCCAGCAGGGUGUUACCUUGUCUUUUCUUUCUUUUUUAAAUUAAUUUUCAUUAAUUUAUUUAUUCACUUUACGCCCUGAUCGAACCCCUCCACUCCACUCCUCCCAGUCUCUCCCUUGUAAAUCCCCCCCCAUUACUCCCUCAUUUUCUCCUUGGAGAAAGUAAAGCCCCAUUGGGUACCACCCCACCCUGGGACAUCCAGUCCCAACUGAGCACACCUUCUCUGAGGUGGAACUGGGCAGUCCGGGUAGAGGAAGGGGAUCCAAUGGCAGGCAACAGAGUCAGAGACAGCCCAGUGGUUAGGAGACCCACAGGAAGACCAAGCUGCCCAUUCGCUACAAUUGUGUAGGAGAUCUAGGGAAGAGGGGGAGAGAAAGAAGAAACGCUGAUGAGCACCAACCCAUGCAUGUUCUUUAGUUGGUGGUUCAGUCUCUGUGAACCCCCCACAGGCCCAGGUUAGUUAUGGUGUCCUUAACCACUUCCGGCUAGCUUAACCCUAUCCCCUACUCUUCUCCACAGGACCUCCCAGAGCUCCAUUUGAUGUUUGCAUCUGCUUCCAUCGGCUGCUAGAUGAAGCCCCUCUUUCUAUAGGGCAGUAUGAAAUACGGAGAAAGUAUAUGUGAGGGAGCUUCCCUAGGGCUGAUUCUCUAGGAAGCCCAGCCCUAGAGAAGACAUGUUAUUGGUGUUUCCCAUAAUACUUCUGGGAGAGGAGGAAAUUGGACCGGCAGGUGGAGAAGCAAGCUCUGGAGUCAGUGCCCCGCCCACCCGUGGCCUCAUCCAUACACCUGCAACACAGUACCAGGAGACCUGGCGCUUACAGAGCCACCUUUCUCAAAGGAACCUGAUCCUCCCGGAGAUGGACGCUGGUCUGAAAAUGUAGUGGGCGUGGCCGUCCUCUCAGCUGACACACCCUUUGACCCCUUUGCUUACUACUUGAACUACUUGGAGCUGGCUGAUGCCCAGAGCCGAGGACACUUGCUUGUAUAUCCAAACAAGUAAAGUGUAAUGAGACCCAUUCAUUCAGACAUAGCAGAGAUGAACCAGAGGCCCCCAUCUCCCGCAAGAGCGGGGCAAGUCAGCUGCCUGAAGGAGGGGCAUAAGAGUCAGUUCCCCACGGAGGACUUCGUUGACAGCUGAAGGGUGAGGUGGAGCGACAGAGAGACACACGCUCACCCUUCACCCCUCAUGAGUGCUGGGGCAGCGCUGCUGGCUGGUCAUUUCCCCAAAGCUUGCCAGAGCAAGUGACAUAAAUCAAAUUUUCAUUUCAUUCCUUCAGGCUCGACCCUUCCGUCAGGUACUCAACAGCUGCCUCCUGAGCAGAUGUACAGCUCAUUAGUCCAUCGUGCCGCUAGAGCCAAGUCCAGGACCCCCAACCCCCAUUCCUGGGCCCCGGGGGAGGGAAGGACGCUAGCAGCCUUUGUUCUUCCUCCGUCGAGCACUUUGCAUAUCAGCCACAAGAGGGCGAAAGCUGCACACACAUCGCUGGUUCCCAGAACCAGCUCAACCCUACACUGGUGAGGGCUGGAAGGUGAUGGUGGAGGGUUGCUGAGACCUUCUUAUCUUCAGAGUCUUUCAAGCCUUCCUCUGACGUGUAGGAAUAGCUUGUUUGGUGGUCAGGUGCUCGGUUUAUGAGGACUGAACUGGAUUCAGAUGCCUGGUCUGAUGCUCUCAGCCUUAGGGCCUUCAUGUAUGAAAUGGGAUGGUAUUGCUUGCCGUUGGACUCCCCCACCCCUACCCCUAGAGAUCAUGAGGCUAAAAUGAGACAGACGAAGUGAGAAGCACCUAAGUGUCUUGACAAAGGAAGGAGUCAUCUAAGACCAUAAAACGACGCAAAUUUUCAUGUCUUUAUUUUCUCUUACUGUGUCUAGGGGAAUACUCAUUAACCACACAUUUAAACCUUCCUUAAUAUAGAUGAACAGAAUCAAUCAUAUUCAGAAUCUGUCUGUCUGUAUGUAUGUAUGUUUCUCUCUCUCUCUCUCUCUCUCUCUCUCUCACACACACACACACACACACACACACACACACACACACACACACAUAUCUCUGUCUCUCCAGGCUGCUGGGGAUAGAAGCCAGGGCCUUGCACAUGCUCACUGAGUCCUCCCCUGCUGAGCUAUGUUCUCAGCAUAGUCCUCUUCUCCAAAACAAACCAAGCCAAGAAGGGCCAUGGUCUUGUCUGUAAGUCAACAGUUCGACCUGUUGUCUCCAUCCUUACGUGUGGCAUUCAGGAAGCAUCGGUCGGUUGGAGAGUGAAACUGUUGUGUCUGGGGCUCACCCCCAUUCUGUCCCUGGUGGGCCUGUGAUUCUCUCCCUGCUCUGUCCAGGACUCUCACCCCCCCCCCCCCGCCCCUGCUUCCCACAUGUGCAUGAGUCCCCCGCCUUUGCUGCUGCACUCACAUCAAGGCACAGUCGCCUCCUCUCCCCCCACAGUUCUGGCAUUAGCAACCUGCCCUGGUGCCUUUCUAGAGUAAAGUGGGUUCCUGCCAUGCUCUUUCUAAGAGGCAUCAUGGCUGCUUUCUGCCUGUGGACAAAGCUUGACUGGCAUCAGGGUCCUUAGAGCAGCGUGUACUGGCUUCAAAGCCUGUGCCAGGCUCUUGGCUAAGUGCUAUGUACUCACAAGACUGUAAUCGCCUUCAUAGAUAUCUUGAGACAUGGAGUCAUACUAUCACCUUCAAUUUAUAGAUAGAACUGGGCACCGAGAAGUGACCUUCUUGGUAACCUAGUGAAGGGUACAAGGGACCACGAUCUAAGCCCUGCUUUCAGAGACUUCCCUGAUUCACAGGACAAGUAAUGAGAUGCCUAGUGUCACUUUGAUGGACACGCUGAGCCUCCUUCAAGCAGUAGAACUCACGGUUCUUUCUCCCAUGUUUUCCGGGUGCCCUGGUUAUGUGUAAGACACUUUGUCAGGUGUUGCUGUCUUGGUUACUAGAAUGGAAAGGGUUCAAGCACAGAACAGGGGCAGGACCAGUUAUAAAAUUCUGACUAAAUCAAAUCUUCCUUAUUCUAGUAGCUUUACUGAGCCAUGCCUCUCACCCCAUUUACCAUUAGCCUCUAUAUGGCUGGAUUAUUAUUAUUUGAAUUUUGAAUGCCCCAAAGGUCCAUGUGUUGAAAGCUCGGUUCCUAGUGUGGUGCUAUCGGGAGAUGGUGGAACCUUUAGGAGCUGGAGCCCGGUGAGAGAUGCAGGCCACUGGGCUCUGCAACCUUUCCUUGUGCUUCCUGGUCAUGAGGAGGUGGUUUUGUAGCGCCAUGCGUUCCCACUGUGAUGUGCUGCUUGUCACAGGCCCAAAGGAAGGGGCUAGAACCUCCGAGCUGUGAGCCAAAAUCAAGUUGGUUAUCUCAGAUUGCUAUAGUGCUAGAGAGCUGACAACCUCAUGGGCUCUGGGCAUGCCACAACCUGUUCAUGCUCCAUCUCCUAGGACAGACCUCUUUGUGGAUAGAUCCACUGUCCAUCCUGGACCCUACUGUGCUCUCCUUCUCUAGGCCAGAACUCUCUCCGUGUCCUGGCCUGGCUAGGCAUUUUGCACAUGACAGACAGCCUCUUACCUUAUGCCACCAUCCUCGACCUUCUUACCCCAGGCAGGAAACUGUCCUCAGCUUUGUCCUUGCUGUCUGUCCCCAUUGCACAGCCCACACACAGCCCCAGAGGGGGUGUAGGAGCCGUUCUAUAUGCAGAGGCAGAUACAUAUUCAAAAGCAAGUAGGAUGGGAACGACUUACACGGUGCUGUAACGAUCCGCAUGGAAAUAUUCCCUCACCUCUUGGUGAAAUUAGCAUUCCGAACCACGGAAUACAUUAGGUUUUAUGAUCUCCCCGCUUCUUUGGGGAAUAUAAAUCUGGAAACAUCAUCUUCAUAUGACAGGGCAAAGAGUCCCUGGGGACUCAAGAUGUUUGAGAACGUUAACUGAGAAUCAGAAAUAGUUGGCAAUUAAUAUUGGGAUUUUGUUUAUGGGCACGAAUAAACCCCAGGUCUUGGGCUGACCUGUAAAAAUCUGCCUAUGACAAAAAUUCUGAAGGCAAAUGAUGGGGCAGGAAACAAUCUGAAUUUAAAGAAGGGAUCUUGGGGGUGGGGGGCUGGGCAGCAGUGCUUAGAAGCUCAUCUUUCCUGACCCUGCAUUUGAAUUCUGUGCACAGCGCCGUAGUAACUGACUGAAAUAAAGAUGAGAGAAGCUAGGGAUUUAUAUCAGCAGUUGUAGUCCAAGCUUUGUGGCUAGAGGGAGUGAAACGGGGAGUGCUCUUUCCGAGGCUCGAGGAGGCUCGAGGCUCGUUGAGGGAACUCCUCACUCUUCCUACACCACUAAAAUGAAGAACCAGUGGCCGUCUGGGCAGUGAAGGGACACAGGAGGAAACGCUGGCACUCCGAGCCUUACUGAGCCUUACACCCUGAAGGGGAGGUGAGGAGUCUUCAUGGAAUGAGUCAGCUUUGUGUGUGAAAACAUCCUUCCCGUCUCCUGCUUUCUGCUUUCAGUCCUCCAGCUCUUGUGUAACCAGAACUGGCCGGGCUCUUCCUGGGUCUGGAGCCCAUCCCAGAAUACUUCUAGAAUGAGGACAAUUACUGCCUAAACUGGACAUGGGGGUGCGAGCCUGUAACCACAGCACUUGGGAGCCUGAGGCCAGAGGACUGAGUUCAAGGUCAGCCUGGCCUACAAUGAGUCUCUGAAAAAGCAACGAACAAACAAAAACAAUGUGGAGAACUAUGAGGGUGGAGAAUAAAAGCUCGUUAAAACUGGCAA